UACAGAGGUCCCAAGCGUUGUUCGGAUUCACUGGGCGUAAAGGGUGCGUAGGUGGCAGGGUAAGUUUGAUGUGAAAUCUCCGGGCUUAACCCGGAAACUGCAUUGAAUACUAUCCUGCUCGAGGUUUGGAGGGGGGACUGGAAUUCUCGGUGUAGCAGUGAAAUGCGUAGAUAUCGAGAGGAACACCAGUGGCGAAGGCGGGUCUCUGGGCAGUAACUGACGCUGAGGAGCGAAAGCGUGGGGAGCGAACAGG
rnacentral:rRNA from 1 species